rfam:Hordeum vulgare subsp. vulgare, WGS project CAJW01000000 data, contig: morex_contig_2550658
CAUGUACUCCCUCCAUCCGGAAUUACUUGUCACAAAAAUGCAUAGAAAUGGAUGUAUCUAGAUCUAAAAUUAAGUCUAAAUACAUCCAUUCCUACCACAAGUAAUUUCGUACGGAGGGAGUAGCAA